GGCGAACGCUGGCGGCGUGCUUAACACAUGCAAGUCGAACGGAAAGGCCCUGCUUUUGUGGGGUGCUCGAGUGGCGAACGGGUGAGUAACACGUGAGUAACCUGCCCUUGACUUUGGGAUAACUUCAGGAAACUGGGGCUAAUACCGGAUAGGAGCUCCUGCUGCAUGGUGGGGGUUGGAAAGUUUCGGCGGUUGGGGAUGGACUCGCGGCUUAUCAGCUUGUUGGUGGGGUAGUGGCUUACCACGGCUUUGACGGGUAGCCGGCCUGAGAGGGUGACCGGCCACAUUGGGCCUGAGAUACGGCCCAGACUACGACGUGAGGCAGCAGUUGGGAAUAUUGCACGAUGGGCGGAAGCCUGAUGCAGCAACGCCGCGUGCGGGAUGGCGGCCUUCGGGUUGUAAACCGCCUUCGCCUGUGACGAAGCGGGAGUGACGGUAAUGGGUAAAGAAGCACCGGCUAACUACGUG
rnacentral:rRNA from 1 species